rnacentral:lncRNA from 1 species
GUCUUCACGACUGCAUUGACCAUUCGUCGUCUCUUCAGUGGUUCCAAUAAAUCUGCCCGUGUCUCGUCCUUCCAGUAGUUAACAAAGGCCACAGGCGCUGUCACCUCCGAUGGCUAGAUCAAGUAUGCUGGCUCAAGCAGUUGUCUUCCCGGUCAAGCGAAUUCGAAGGGAAGCAGGUCAAACGACUGCAACAACACCCGUGUGCCUGUCGAUCGCCCUUUCGACCCGUGUUCUGAUCUCGCGACGCGGAACGCGCUCGACAGUUUAUUGCCUCGAAAAUGUAUCGUGGCUCCGAGCGUAGUCUGAAAGGCUGCAAUGAAAUUCAGAAUCAACGCCAUAUGUUGCCAUUCUUAAUACAGUGGCAGUGGAGAACAUCCAUCCCGCUGGGCAUUCAGGGUGUGUGCAGAUGCAGUGUUGGUGGCAGCCAAACGAGUCAGGCCAAAUGAAGUCAAGAAAGGGGUAAGCUUCAGGCUCUCCGUGUGUUUUCUGCAACUGUAGUUGAGUGAUUUGUUCUGUCGAUGGCCCUGCGUGGCAGCGGCGGGUAACCCCGCGUGUUGACCUUUCGCCACAUACCCGCAAAACGUCCCCUUUGGAAGAGCUUCUGCCUGAAAACUCCUGCUCUUCGUUUGGAACGCCAUGGUGAACACCAAUUGCAGCAGGCCUGCUGCCCAAAGUUAACGCUUAAGAAAACCCUACGAUGACGAAGUUGCGGGAUAAAGCAUACCCGAAGAGAGACAGCGAAACGGGAGUGGCCAAGCAAGUGAACAAUUUACGUGUUAUACUGGCUACCGAGCAGCGUGCAUAGGGCAACACGUCUCGGGCAAAAAUGCCCCAGAUGCAAGUCGAGGCCUCUUAAGGUGAAGAUAGCGAAGGCAAGUUCGUCAGGACCUGUCUCAAGAGAAGAACGGGAAACCGGAUGAACGCUGCUGUAAACACAAUAGUCCAGAAAGCCGACCGUGAAUCGGACAGUGGCCGUGGCCAGGGAGGUUGCAACCGGAGACCCCAAGAAGCCUCACCCCAGUGAAGAGAAUCGGGGGCGACAAGCAAAUCAAUCGCUGCCAAUAAAAUCGAGAUACCAUGGUACCGACUCCCGUCCUGCCGCACACAAGGAAGCAGGACCUAGGAUCGGCUGCUUCACCCCAGUCCAUUUGAUGGUGUGUCGUUGCGUCGCUGCCUCUGGUCCCUCAUUUCUGCCUCUGUGGCAUGUUUAUAGUAUCCGUCGUUGCUGCAAAUUUACUUUCGCAGAAUUGCAGCUCGCGUUCUAAGGUUGCAGCCCGCCUGCUAGUGAUGCAGAGAGCAUGGUGUGCCGACACCGAACAGCCGAAGUCGGUACAUACGAUUGUGUAUUUUUGCAUCACGGUCCCCUCAGUGCCCCCACUCGUCACGGGUACGGCACCAGAGCCCCAAGAAAGGGUCAUGUGACCAAUAUAUUUUGUUGUCGGCACGCCCACGGUAUGCUGCGAUUUGCCGUUCGGGAGGCUAAGUCGCACACUCACAAUGUGCUGGCCAAGCCCUGUGCUGCCCUAGCGAUAGCGUUGCUGUCGGAGUAAAUUAGUUUUCCUACUAAAACGAACUCGACCGGGCGUGAACCAAAGCCAUAGCUGCAUACAGAUUUCGAAACUAAAAAAACCAUAUCGUUGCCUAA